AUUAGUUUGGCAGACAAAUGUAUUAAAUUUAGGUUUUAAAAAUAUGUAUUUAUACAUAACUAGUA
rnacentral:tRNA from 1 species